ACAGAUACCCUAUUAUUAAAAAUGUAAUAAAAAAAUUAAGAUAGUAAUAGUUAUGUUCUUGAAACUUAAAAAAUUUGGCGGUAUUUUAGUCUAUUCAGAGGAACUUGUCUUAUAAUCGAUAAUCCACGAUGGACCUUACUUAAAUUUGUAUAGUUUAUAUACCGUCGUUAUUAGAAUAUUUUAAAAGAAUAAUAAUUUUCAUAAUUUUUAAAUUAAAAAUAUAUCAGAUCAAGGUGUAGCUAAUAUUUAAGAAAAGAUGGGUUACAAUAAAUUUAUUUAUACGAAUAUAAAUAUGAAAAAUUUAUUGAAGGAGGAUUUGAUAGUAAAAUUAUAAAGAUUAAUAAUUUGAUUUUAGCUCUAAAAUAUGCACAUAUCGCCCGUCGCUCUUAUUAUUAAGGUAAGAUAAGUCGUAACAUAGUAGAUGUACUGGAAAGUGUAUCUAGAAUGCAAUUUAAAGCUUUUUUAGUAAAGUAUUUCAUUUACAUUGAAAUGAUUAUUGUGCAAUUCAAUAUAAAUUGAUUAAAUUUUAUUUAUUUAUUUAUUUAUAAUUUUAUAUAAUUUAUUAAAAAUAAUUAUUUUAUUUUUUGUUUAAGUAUUUUAUUAAGAAAAAAUAAAUUUUAUUAUAGUUUAUUAGUAUUGUGAAAGAAAAUUGAAAUAUAUUGAAAAAUUUUUAUAAUAAAAGAAAAUUUAAUU
rnacentral:rRNA from 1 species